ACCUACUUAACUCAGUGGUUAGAGUAUUGCUUUCAUACGGCGGGAGUCAUUGGUUCAAAUCCAAUAGUAGGUAUAGGUAAAUAGGUA
rnacentral:tRNA from 1 species